GGGAUUGUGGCUCAGUGGCAGAGCGCUUGCCUCGCAAGUAUGAGGCACUCACUGGGAUCGAUCCUC
rnacentral:tRNA from 1 species